CACGGACCGCUUCCUCUAGGGAUCUGAGCCCUUUCCCUGGUUGUUGAGACUGUCCAUUGCAUGUCCUGAGAGAGUCAGUCUGAUGUUUCUCUGACUUCCUACUGUGUAGCAGCUGUCCAAAGUCCUCACGCUACAGCUACCUCUGUCUGCCAUAAGCUUUUGUCUGAAGAGGUCUCCUUUCCCUGGUCUCCUAGUUUUGUCUUUAAAGCCCCCUUUCUGCAAUGUCUGGGUAAGAACUAUGCAUCAUGGAGUCCAGCUUGGCUUUGCAAACUGCUGCAGUCUCCACCCAGUCAGUGGCCACCAGAUCUGCAGAGAGUCUGCUUUCUGGCCCACCAGCACCAGACCUGUUGGUGGUUUCCUGUUCACCCCUCCACCACUGGACUUCCUGGAAGGUGAAACAGAAGAGGAUCAGGGUGACUUGGGGCAAAUCUGCUGGUGGUACCUCUUGUUCUACAGCACCUGAGCAAAACCGGGAAGAGACAGCACAGAGACUCCUGAUGGCCUUAGAACAGAAGAGACAUCCAGAAAAAUGUAAGGCAGAGAGGAAGAAUUGGGGAUUGGGGGCUUGGCAGACCCAGGAGGGAGGGCUCAGGAGGUUUGAUCCCUGCAGGAGCUGACCCUCCCUUUUAGUGCAGUGUGGGCAGAGUGUGAGGGAAAAGUCCCAAGCUGAUGAGACAGAGUAAUGCUGCCAUGACUGUAUAGGUGCCCAAAGCAGACGGGGAUGAGAGGAGAUAGUUUAUCACUGGGCACAGCAAAUGGGAUUGCACCAACAUAGCCCCCUGCCCUUAGGCCCCACAGGACCGUGCCAUGGGCUCAGAUGGGUUGUACCCACCCACUAGGCCUCCUUGAAGCUGAGGAACUCAAGGCCAAGGGCUCAGCAUAUUUAGAGUAAGCAGCAAACCCUUUGGCAGGCACUAAAUAAAGCAGAUUCCUUUCCCCUGGCAAGCAGUUGCACAGCAAUCUCACUGAGGUGUCGUCCCUGUCCAGCCGCCUGCAGGGCCAGCUGCUGGCUGUUUAUUACCUAGGAGCAGCCACAGAAGUUAUGACUGUCUGAAGUUCCAUUCAGUGGCAGGAGGAGAACUAGCUGUGCCCUGCAGAUUUAAAGGGAUCGUGAAAGAUAAAAAUAAAGCUUUGCUCUGUGGUCACAGAUUUUAGUCAGAUUUUCUGUUUCUGGGACAUAAUAUCCAGACUCACAAUUUAAGGUUUAAUGAGGCUCAUGGUCUCAGAGGACUCAGUCCAUGGU